rnacentral:rRNA from 1 species
CCUACGGGUGGCAGCAGUCGAGAAUCAUUCACAAUGGGGGAAACCCUGAUGGUGCGACGCCGCGUGGGGGAAUGAAGGUCUUCGGAUUGUAAACCCCUGUCAUGUGGGAGCAAAUUAAAAAGAUAGUACCACAAGAGGAAGAGACGGCUAACUCUGUGCCAGCAGCCGCGGUAAUACAGAGGUCUCAAGCGUUGUUCGGAAUCACUGGGCGUAAGGCGUGCGUAGGCUGUUUCGUAAGUCGUGUGUGAAAGGCGCGGGCUCAACCCGCGGACGGCACAUGAUACUGCGAGACUAGAGUAAUGGAGGGGGAAGCGGAAUUCUCGGUGUAGCAGUGAAAUGCGUAGAUAUCGAGAGGAACACUCGUGGCGAAGGCGGGUUCCUGGACAUUAACUGACGCUGAGGCACGAAGGCCAGGGGAGCGAAAGGGAUUAGAUACCCGAGUAGUC